rnacentral:rRNA from 1 species
GAUGAACGCUGGCGGCGUGCCUAAUACAUGCAAGUCGAGCGAACAGACGAGGAGCUUGCUCCUCUGACGUUAGCGGCGGACGGGUGAGUAACACGUGGAUAACCUACCUAUAAGACUGGGAUAACUUCGGGAAACCGGAGCUAAUACCGGAUAAUAUAUUGAACCGCAUGGUUCAAUAGUGAAAGACGGUUUUGCUGUCACUUAUAGAUGGAUCCGCGCCGCAUUAGCUAGUUGGUAAGGUAACGGCUUACCAAGGCAACGAUGCGUAGCCGACCUGAGAGGGUGAUCGGCCACACUGGAACUGAGACACGGUCCAGACUCCUACGGGAGGCAGCAGUAGGGAAUCUUCCGCAAAGGGCGAAAGCCUGACGGAGCAACGCCGCGUGAGUGAUGAAGGUCUUCGGAUCGUAAAACUCUGUUAUUAGUGAAGAACAAAUGUGUAAGUAACUAUGCACGUCUUGACGGUACCUAAUCAGAAAGCCACGGCUAACUACGUG